AUAACAAUACAGGACUCUUUAGAAGCCCUGUAAUUGUAAUGAGUCCACUUGAAAUACUUUAACUCUGAUCAAUUGGAGGGCAAGAGCGACUGACCUGUGCGUGCUGCAUCUGAAACUCCACUAUCGCCUGCUGCUGCUCAAACAGUCUCUCCAG